CCUACGGGUGGCAGCAGUAGGGAAUAUUGCGCAAUGGGGGAAACCCUGACGCAGCAACGCCGCGUGAGUGAGGAAGGUCUUCGGAUUGUAAAACUCUUUUAUUUGGGAAAAAUGACUAUAUGGCUAAUAUCCAUGUAGAGUGAUGGUACCAAAGGAAUAAGCACCGGCUAACUUCGUGCCAGCAGCCGCGGUAAUACGAAGGGUGCAAGCGUUGUUCGGAAUCAUUGGGCGUAAAGCGCGCGCAGGCGGAUCAGCAAGUCAGAUGUGAAAUCUCGAAGCUCAACUUCGAAACUGCGUCUGAAACUGCUAGUCUAGAAUGUCGGAGGGGGCAGGGGAAUUUCACGUGUAGGGGUAAAAUCCGUAGAGAUGUGAAGGAACACCGGGGGCGAAGGCGCCUGCCUGGACGACUAUUGACGCUGAGGCGCGAAAGCGUGGGGAGCAAACAGGAUUAGAUACCCUUGUAGUC
rnacentral:rRNA from 1 species